AAUCAUAAAUUGUUUUUGAGUUACGGCGCGACAUGUAAAAAAAACCCUCCCCUUUUUUACAAAAUACUCAAUAACUCAAAAAUAAAAUUUUGAGUCAUCACCAAAAAGUAUAUAGAUCUUUAGAUUAAUAUAACAAAGAAGUGUGUAAAGUUUUAAGCAAUAAUCAUAAAUCGUUUUUGAGAUACGGCACGACAUGUAAAAAACC
rnacentral:lncRNA from 1 species